rnacentral:rRNA from 1 species
UACAGAGACUGCAAGCGUUAUUCGGAUUCACUGGGCGUAAAGGGUGCGCAGGCGGUUGUGUGUGUCAGGUGUGAAAGCCCGGGGCUUAACCCCGGAAUUGCGCCUGAAACUACAUGACUAGAGCAUUGGAGAGGGUAGCGGAAUUCACGGUGUAGCAGUGAAAUGCGUAGAUAUCGUGAGGAACACCAGAGGCGAAGGCGGCCAACUGGACGAAUACUGACGCUGAGACACGAAAGCGUGGGGAGCAAACAGG